rnacentral:rRNA from 1 species
UACGAAGGGGGCUAGCGUUGCUCGGAAUUACUGGGCGUAAAGCGCACGUAGGCGGAUUGUUAAGUCGGGGGUGAAAUCCUGGAGCUCAACUCCAGAACUGCCUUCGAUACUGGCGAUCUUGAGUUCGGGAGAGGUGAGUGGAACUGCGAGUGUAGAGGUGAAAUUCGUAGAUAUUCGCAAGAACACCAGUGGCGAAGGCGGCUCACUGGCCCG